ACUUUCAACAACGGAUCUCUUGGCUCUCGCAUCGAUGAAGAACGCAGCGAAAUGCGAUAAGUAAUGUGAAUUGCAGAAUUCAGUGAAUCAUCGAAUCUUUGAACGCACCUUGCGCUCCUUGGUAUUCCGAGGAGCAUGCCUGUUUGAGUGUCAUUA
rnacentral:rRNA from 1 species